AGCGAACGCUGGCGGCAGGCCUAACACAUGCAAGUCGAACGAAGUCUUCGGACUUAGUGGCGGACGGGUGAGUAACACGUGGGAACGUGCCUUUAGGUUCGGAAUAACUCAGGGAAACUUGUGCUAAUACCGAAUGUGCCCUUCGGGGGAAAGAUUUAUCGCCUUUAGAGCGGCCCGCGUCUGAUUAGCUAGUUGGUGAGGUAAAGGCUCACCAAGGCGACGAUCAGUAGCUGGUCUGAGAGGAUGAUCAACCACAUUGGGACUGAGACACGGCCCAAACUCCUACGGGAGGCAGCAGUGGGGAAUCUUGCGCAAUGGGCGAAAGCCUGACGCAGCCAUGCCGCGUGAAUGAUGAAGGUCUUAGGAUUGUAAAAUUCUUUCACCGGGGACGAUAAUGACGGUACCCGGAGAAGAAGCCCCGGCUAACUUCGUGCCAACCGCCGCAGUAAAAC
rnacentral:rRNA from 1 species